CCAGUGUUUUCAGUCUGGACCAGACGCAGGCCUGAGCCUCGACAAAGACAAAAGAACCCCGCGAAAAGACUCUGACCAGGGGACCCUCGGGGCUGAGCUGAAGUUCACUAAACGCCUUGGUUAUGAGAAGAGACCGAAAGGCUGGGACUGUAUAAGAGAAAGACAGGGCACAGGAUGGCAUCCAUUACAGAAGCAGCAACUCUCUGCCAGCAUGAGCCUCUCUUGCAAAAUGGAUCCCAGCUCUCUGGCCGGACCAUUGGGUGAGAGACUGGAGGGAACUUGGUGGGUCCACACCGGUGCAGUUGCUCUUGUCUUGCUCCAAUCCGAGGGUAUAAAGGACAGUGCUGACUGACGUCCCUCCAGUUCAUCCCUCACUGCAAAUCAGACGAGAUCCACUGCAGAGGGGAAGUGGAAUACAGACAUGGACCACAUUCUUGGACAACCUCUACUUACAGGUGGAAUGCCAAAGCUCAUCUGACGUCGAAAGUGGAGUCUCCCAUCUUCCUUGGAAGCAUGAGGUUUAGGAAAGAAAACUGGUGAGCGAGCAGGUUGAUUCACUUGGAACUCAUGCUAGGGAUGAAUUUCACAUGGAAGCGAAGGGAAACCCUCUCCUUAUGAGAUACGGAAUAUGGCGGGUCUGCCGUAAGAGCUCCUAGUUUGUUCACCCAUCUGGGACAGCGACUCAGAAGGUGACCUUCAUGGAGAGGAAGGACAUGGAACAAGUGGCCAGUGGUUCAUAACCAGCGGGAAGGCUCUAAGGAGUCCUCUUGGGAAUCUGACUGUUGUUCGGUGAUUAAAAAUAGAAUAGCAGGUGAAUGGAGGGCGCUAAAUGCUGCAGGUGGACUCACAGCGAGCAGGAGGAGAGGCCCGACAUCUUGAGAUGAAGGAUAUAGUCAAGAAGAGCAGGAAAAACCACCAACCCAGAGGUCAAAUGGUUUCAUUGCAUCAAGGUGAAGAAAUGUCUCCAUUUAGCCAGACCGCAUUUUCUAGUGGACUCUUUUCUGGUUCAGUUAAGAACAGAUUGGACAUUUUCCAAACAUGAAUGUUCUACGUCUGAUGCCCAGGCCGUAAGGUGGAAAGGGUCGGGGUUGCGGGGCGUCUGGCUGUGCCGUUCCCCUGGGUCAGCAGGCUGGGGAAGGGUUGGAUGCUGAUGGGAUGAUGUGCCACCAUUUGCAGAAGGAAGCCGUCUGGGGUCCAUGGUAUGCAAUGAGAACGACUCGAGUUUUGUCGUGACGAAUCACUCUCAGUGCCAGUGGUAGUAGCGGGAGGGGAGGAAAGGCAUGUCUCAGGUGGGAGAAGGGUGUUGCUCUUGCAUCCCUUGCCCAUAGCAGUCCUGGAGCGAUAUAGGGAAAAUUCCCUGUUUGUCUGGGAUGCCCACAGGUCCCAGGAUAGCAUUUUCCACUGGGUGAAUCUCUCGUUCAGGCUGGAAUUGUGUAAGUCCCAUUCACAGUAUGUGGAGAUGUAUCUGCUGAGAUUGCCCUCCAAAGAAUUCUGUGCCCCUGGUAGGUAUGUUACCAAGAGCAUUGUGCAGCUCCUGACGUACCAGUUCCAUUAGUUGAUGGCCUCUGCACACAGAAGAAGGGAUCUUGCUCCACCUUGUUCGUUUACGUAGGAGACAGUCGUCAUGUUGUCUGACGUUAUUUGGACACGGCUUGAUUGAAUCAGUGGGAGGAAUGGAUGGCAGGCUAGGCAGACUGCUCUCAGCUAUAGCCGACUGAUAUGCACUCUGGCUUCUCAAGGGGUCCAUGUGCCUUGUGCGGGGUGAUCGCCCAUGUGCGCUCCCCAUCGGGUGUGAAUGCAACAAAAGGGACUCCCUCGCGCACUGGCUCUGGGUUUGUCCACCAGGCCAGAGAAGCCUCGAGCUUGGCUAGAACUUUAGGCUAAGAAGUUUAGACUUGAAAUUAAAGGCAGGCGUCUAGGCAUCAGAGCAGUGAAGUUCUGGAACAGCCUCCAACUUGUUACAAGACUGAGCUUGAUAAGUUCACGGAGGGGGUGGUAUGAAGAGAUUGCCUACAAUGGCAGAUGGCCCUGUCCCGACUGCUAUUAGCAAAUAUCCCUAAUGGCUAGAGAUGGGACACUAGCUGGAGAGGGC